UCGCGAGGCUCGUUUGCGCAUGUGCGGGUCGUGAGGGAGCGCGACUGCCGGCAACGGCCAACAUGUCGGCGCAGGGGGACUGCGAGUUCCUGGUGAAGCGGGCGCGGGAGCUGGUCCAGGGGGACCUGUGGGCGGCCAAGGCCUGGCUUAUCACCGCACGGAGCCUCUACCCCGCCGACUUCAACAUCCAGUAUGAGAUGUACACUAUUGAACGGAAUGCAGAACGUACAGCAUCAGCAGGCAGAUUGCUAUAUGACAUGUUUGUUAAUUUCCCAGACCAGCCAGUGGUGUGGCGGGAGAUUAGUGUCAUUACAGCAGCCUUAAGGAAUGAUUCGCAGGACAAGCAAACUCAAUUUUUAAGAGGUUUAUUUGAAACCCUACCAGGCCGAGUUCAGUGUGAAAUGUUACUGAAAGCCACAGAGCAGUGCUUUAAUACAUUGGAACGGGCAGAAAUGUUGCUCCUGCUUUUGCGACGUUUCCCUGAGACUGUGGUUCAACAUGGGGUGGGCCUUGGGGAAACAUUAUUAGAAGCAGAAAAUAUUGAAGACCAAGAAUCACCUGUCAAUUGUUUUAGAAAAUUAUUUGUCUGUGAUGUCCUUCCCCUAAUAAUUAACAACCCUGAUGUGCGCCUUCCGGCCAACCUGUUAUAUAAGUAUCUGAAUAAAGCAGCAGAGUUUUAUAUUAAUUAUGUGACGAGAUCUGCGCAGACUGAAAAUCAAUACCAAGGUACACAGGAUACAUCUGAUCUUGUGUCCCCCAGUAAACGAAGCUCUCAGAAAUACGUAAUAGAGGGCUUAACUGAGAAAUCUUCUCAAAUUACGGAUCCGUGGGAAAGGGUGUUCAAGAUACUGUCCGUAGUGGGAGUAAGGUGUGAAUGGCAGAUGGACAUGGCAAGAAGAAGCUUUGGCGACACAUUGCUCAAAAUGAAAGAUGUCUGCAGAUACAUCAGUAACUAUGAUAACGAAGCUCAUGCAAAAUACAAGACCCAAGUGGUCUAUUCCACAAUGCUGGUCUUCUUCAAGAACGCAUUCUUGUAUGUCAGCAGCAUCCAACCUUCUCUCUUCCAAGGACCAAAUGCCCCAAACCAAGUUCCACUGGUUUUGCUAGAGGAUGUUUCCAAUGUUUAUGGCGAUACUGACAUUGAACGGAGCAAACAUGUGCACAAAAAGAGGAAGCUUGCCGAAGGGAGAGAGAAAACCAUGAGCUCUGAUGACGAGGAUCCUUCUGGGAAGGGGAGAAGCAGGCACAUUACAGUAAAUGCAGCAGACCUUCCAAACGCCAUUGAAGUACAAGAAAGCUUUAGGUUGGCUAGGGAGAGCUGGGAACUUCUCCAUUCUCUUGAAUCUUUGGAUAAAGAAUUCACAAGAAUGUGUGUGUCAUGGAAGACCGAUACUUGGCUUUGGCUGCGGAUCUUCCUCACAGAUAUGAUCAUCUAUCAGGGUCAAUAUAAAAAAGCAAUUGCCAGCUUGCAUCACUUAUCAGCUCUGCAGGGAUCUCACUCUCCGCAGCAGAUCCUGGGGCAAGGAUCCCUAGAGAACCAGCGAUCCCUAAUCCAGCUUGCAACCUGUCACUUUGCCCUUGGAGAAUACCGUUUGGCCUGUGAAAAGGUACUUGACCUGAUGUGCUACAUGGUGCUUCCCAUACAAGAAGGGGUUAAGCUUCCGGAAGAGCAGCCUACAGGGAAGUCCAAAUUCAGGAAAGCUACGGAGUUGAAGCUCUGGCCGUGUACCAGUAAAGCAAUUAUGCCCUAUUGCCUACGGUUACUGUUAGCUUGUUUUAAGCUGAGAGCUUUCACAGACAACAGAGAUGAUAUGGCAUUGGGUCAUGUGAUUGUGUUGCUGCAGCAUGAGUGGCCAAGGGGAGAAAACCUGUUCUUGAAAGCAAUUAACAAAAUCUGCCUACAAGGAAACUUCCAGUAUGAAAAUUUUUUCAACUAUGUUACAAAUAUUGAUAUGCUGGAAGAAUUUGCCUAUUUAAGAACACAAGAAGGAGGAAAAAUUCACUUGGAAUUGUUGCCAAAUCAGGGAAUGUUGAUAAAAGUUGCAGACCUGUGUGUGGAGAAAAGACUGCCAAAUGAAAGGAUUAAACACCCACCCACCCCUCACUGCUGCUUAUCUGUCCUCCCUGGGAGGCAAUGCCAAGAAGAAGAGGAUAGCAGGAAUUCAUUAUUCACUUUAACAUGAAUAAGUAUUUGCUGGGACUCCAGGCUAAAAUGUUGCUACAUCUGCUGAGGAACAUAAUGCAGGAACAAUUUUGUCACAGUUCGCAAUUCUUUGUAAAUACAACAUAUUAUGUAGUUCAUAUUAUGCUGUUGGGUUUUAAAAAAAAAACUUGCAGUGUUCUCUUCAGUACUGCAUUUGGGAGCCCCAAGCCUACUGGAUUUAGUUCAUUUUCCUUUCCUAAUUCAGUACUAGGGUUUGGGCUGUUGGUCUGCAGCCCCUUUCCUCUUUUCUGUGUCUAGUUCUCUGGAGCGUUGAUUUUUGUAGCACAGGGGAAGUUGGUGUGAGUAUUUGAAUGCUGCUGUUUGCUGUUUUUUAAAGGACUUCUAGCCCUCCGCUGGGGUUACUGCAGCAGGAAUUCAUGCCUGUACUACAGCCCAGCAUGCAGACUGCUGACAGGCAUCACACAGUUACCAGGGGAAUAACCAAAGGCGUAAAGGAGGAUUUCCGCC